AUUGAACGCUGGCGGCAGGCCUAACACAUGCAAGUCGAACGGUAGCACAGAGAGCUUGCUCUCGGGUGACGAGUGGCGGACGGGUGAGUAACGUCUGGGAAACUGCCCGAGGGAGGGGGAUAACUACUGGAAACGGUAGCUAAUACCGCAUAACGUCGCAAGACCAAAGUGGGGGACCUUCGGGCCUCACACCAUCGGAUGUGCCCAGAUUGGAUUAGCUAGUAGGUGGGGUAAUGGCCCACCUAGGCGACGAUCCCUAGCUGGUCUGAGAGGAUGACCAGCCACACUGGAACUGAGACACGGUCCAGACUCCUACGGGAGGCAGCAGUGGGGAAUAUUGCACAAUGGGCGCAAGCCUGAUGCAGCCAUGCCGCGUGUAUGAAGAAGGCCUUCGGGUUGUAAAGUACUUUCAGCGGGGAGGAAGGUGGUGAAGUUAAUAGCUUCACCGAUUGACGUUACCCGCAGAAGAAGCACCGGCUAACUCCGUGCCAGCCGCCGCCGUAA
rnacentral:rRNA from 1 species